UGUAUUUCCAUAUCCCUGGAACUUACCACUGAAGACUUCCAGGUCAAGGCUCAACCUUCUUCCAGGAUCUGAUAUUAAUGAUAAUACUGGAAAUGAAAACUCUAUUAAUGUCUAUAGUGGCUUGUCAUUUGCAAAGAUUGCUUUUAAAUGAGUGUCCUAUUUUAUCUUUACCAAAACUCUGAAGAAGACAGGGACAGUAUAUUUAAACCCACUUCACAUCUGAAGCACUUGAGGAACCAUUCUAUCAUACCUUGCUCUUCCCCACAGACUGCUGAAUUAAGUCUAUUGAAUGAAACCAGUCAUUCCACAUGAAGAUCUAACCAAAACCUUUAGUUUUCUAUGGAAUUAGAAAAUAUAGGGCUAAAAAGGUUAAUAAAUAGGAAUUUAAGUUUCAGAUAAGAAAGAUUAGGUACUGAGCCCAGGACAUGCUAUGUUUUAAUGACAGACCUUAAAGGUAACAGCAAGUUAUUUUGAAAAGUACAAGUUGUUUGUGUUUUAAGCUCUGAAUUCAAAUGUUCCUAAUUUUUAUGUGAUUGAAGGUUACCUGUAUAAUAGGGACAAUAAUGGUAUCCAGGUCAUGGUUAUAUUAUGAGAUUUAAUAAGAUAAAAAAGAAGUAAAAUGCAUUGCACAGCAUCUGACAUGUGAAAUAUGGUCAAUAAAUACAUUUUUUGUCUUCUUUAUUAUCAUUAUUUAUUAAAGACUUAUAGGAGAAAUAUGAAU
rnacentral:lncRNA from 10 species